AGUUGUGGUGGCCUAAUGGUUAGUGUGUUGGACUCUGGAUCAAGUGGUCCGGGUUCAAAUGUUGGCCGGGGUGAUUG